rnacentral:rRNA from 1 species
GAGUUUGAUCCUGGCUCAGGAUGAACGCUAGCGACAGGCUUAACACAUGCAAGUCGUGGGGCAGCGGGGGUGAAGGCUUGCCUUCACCUGCCGGCGACCGGCGCACGGGUGAGUAACACGUAUGCAACCUGGCCGUGACAGGAGGAUAACCGGUAGAAAUGCCGCCUAAUACUCCAUAACACUUUCGGAGGACAUCCUCCGGAGGUCAAAGGAAGCGAUUCCGGUCACGGAUGGGCAUGCGGCGCAUUAGCUAGUCGGCGGGGUAACGGCCCACCGAGGCGACGAUGCGUAGGGGUUCUGAGAGGAAGGUCCCCCACAUUGGAACUGAGACACGGUCCAAACUCCUACGGGAGGCAGCAGUGAGGAAUAUUGGUCAAUGGGCGAAAGCCUGAACCAGCCAAGUCGCGUGAGGGAAUAAGGCCCUAUGGGUCGUAAACCUCUUUUGCCGGGGAGCAAGAUCGGGGACGUGUCCCAGAUUGGAGAGUACCCGGAGAAAAAGCAUCGGCUAACUCCGUG